rnacentral:rRNA from 1 species
GACAGAGGGUGCAAACGUUGUUCGGAUUUACUGGGCGUAAAGCGCACGUAGGCGGAUUGUUAAGUCGGGGGUGAAAUCCUGGAGCUCAACUCCAGAAUUGCCUUCGAUACUGGCUUUCUAGAGGCUGGAAGAGGUUAGUGGAAUUCCCAGUGUAGAGGUGAAAUUCGUAGAUAUUGGGAAGAACACCAGUGGCGAAGGCGGCUAACUGGUCCAGAUCUGACGCUGAGGUGCGAAAGCGUGGGGAGCAAACAGG